UGUAGCUUGACAUUGGGUCUUGGUACUACAUGUACAGGAUAGGUGGGAGGCUUUGAAACCAGGACGCCAGUUUUGGCGGAGCCAUCCUUGGGAUACCACCCUUGUAGUACUGGGACUCUAACCAUAGACCAUGAAUCUGGUCUUGGGACACUGUCAGGUGGGCAGUUUGACUGGGGCGGUCGCCUCCCACAAGGUAACGGAGGCGCUCAAAGGUUCCCUCAGUACGGUCGGGACUCGAACGUCGAGGGUAAAGGCAAAAGAGA
rnacentral:rRNA from 1 species